rnacentral:rRNA from 1 species
GGCAUGCCUUACACAUGCAAGUCGAACGGUAACAGGUUAAGCUGACGAGUGGCGAACGGGUGAGUAAUAUAUCGGAACGUGCCCAGUAGUGGGGGAUAGCCCGGCGAAAGCCGGAUUAAUACCGCAUACGACCUACGGGUGAAAGCGGGGGAUCGCAAGACCUCGCGCUAUUGGAGCGGCCGAUAUCAGAUUAGCUAGUUGGUGGGGUAAAAGCUCACCAAGGCGACGAUCUGUAGCUGGUCUGAGAGGACGACCAGCCACACUGGGACUGAGACACGGCCCAGACUCCUACGGGAGGCAGCAGUGGGGAAUUUUGGACAAUGGACGCAAGUCUGAUCCAGCCAUGCCGCGUGCGGGAAGAAGGCCUUCGGGUUGUAAACCGCUUUUGUCAGGGAAGAAAAGUCUGGGGCUAAUAUCCUCGGAUGAUGACGGUACCUGAAGAAUAAGCACCGGCUAACUACGUGCCAGCAGCCGCGGUAAUACGUAGGGUGCAAGCGUUAAUCGGAAUUACUGGGCGUAAAGCGUGCGCAGGCGGUUCUAUAAGACAGAUGUGAAAUCCCCGGGCUCAACCUGGGAACUGCAUUUGUGACUGUAGAGCUGGAGUACGGCAGAGGGGGAUGGAAUUCCGCGUGUAGCAGUGAAAUG